GAUGAAGGAACGCAGCGAAAUGCGAUAAGUAAUGUGAAUUGCAGAAUUCAGUGAAUCAUCGAAUCUUUGAACGCACAUUGCGCCCGCCAGUAUUCUGGCGGGCAUGCCUGUCCGAGCGUCAUUUCAACCCUCGAACCCCUCCGGGGGGUCGGCGUUGGGGAUCGGGAACCCCUAAGACGGGAUCCCGGCCCCGAAAUACAGUGGCGGUCUCGCCGCAGCCUCUCCUGCGCAGUAGUUUGCACAACUCGCACCGGGAGCGCGGCGCGUCCACGUCCGUAAAACACCCAACUUCUGAAAUGUUGACCUCGGAUCAGGUAGGAAUACCCGCUGAACUUAAGCAUAUAAUAAGCGGAGGA
rnacentral:misc_RNA from 1 species